rnacentral:lncRNA from 1 species
GCAACCGUUUAGCCUCGCACAUUCUUUCAAUAAGUGUCUUUGUUGAAUUUGUGUGCCUACUCGUUCAAUUGUUGCUGGUUACUUGUGUUUACUCUUUUGUUUCUCGUGUUUCAUCUAACCCUAGUUUUCGCCGCCGCCGCCGUUCCGCUGCUCGCCAACCCUACCAGCCGCGUCCACCGCACCUCCCCCCGCGACAACCGCGCCGCGCCAUCCCACUACUCCGAUCGCCCCUCCCCUGUCAAAACAAAAAGAUCGAAAGCAAUCAAAAAAAAAAAGAAAAAAACAAAAAAAAAAAAAAAAAAA